GUGUGCCCUUGGCAUAUGCUGGAGAGCGAUGGAAUCCACAGGUCGGGCUCUCAGAAAACAGAGAUUUCACGGACAGGGCUGUGCAGAGUGGCUGGUACCAUAUGGUACCACGUGGGGGCACUGAUACCUCACAGGACCGGAAAUGUGCUGUAGAGCACUUUUCAUUUUACUGUGAGAGCCAGCCACUCCUCCUGCGGCCAUCCCAAUCCUCUGUGAACCCUCCCUCGCCCGUGCCAGAUUCUUCUUCAGAAUCCUCAGUAGCCCUCUUGGUUUCCAUGACUACUGGAGCUUUUCCUUGAGUAAAACAAGUAAACCGGACCCUUUCCAAAGUGAUAUCUGAAGUUCCAGGAGACAAGCAUGGAGAAAGAAGGCCCCUAGAAUGGACGCCCUCUCUCCUCCCUCUCCAGGUCUUCCUUCUGUAAGAACCUAUAUCAACUCCACUUCCAGUGUAUCUACUGCUACAGCAUCAUGUUCUUUCAUUGGUGGGCUGGUGUCCCACGUGUUCUGGCUGGGAAGAUUCAGUUUGUGGCCAACUCUACUCAUGCUUUUUGCCAUCUCUUCACCAAGUACCCCUUUCCAAUGGACUCCAAAGCAACCAUCGUUUCUUCAUGUAUUUUGGCCUCAGCAUCCUUUUCUUUGGCUUCCACCAGCAGACAUCCCCAAGGGACCCUGGAAGAUGCCGAGAUAAAAAGUGGAACCAGGGACUGAUACUAACAGAGCUGUACUCCUGGAGACCCUGGCAGAGGACAGCAUAGCUCUUAGCAGAUUCCUGGAACUGCAGUUGGUUGGAUGAACAAUGUCCUCCCUUAUAGACUUGAGGAGGGAUGAAAUGGAUUAUGACUUCAUACCUACUUCUCACAUGGAUUUGUAACUAUUUGCUAACCUCCUGCUUCUACUAGACAUAGUCUUAUAAUGGAAGGGACUGUCACCUACUUCAUUUCAACAAAUGUGUCUCUAGGGCUCAGAUUCUGCAACUGGUGGUCAUGACCACCGGUAAAGGACAGGCCUGGGUGCGAAUGAAAUCAAGGAUGGCUGGCAAUCUGACUUGGAGUGGGAAAUUACUUGGUUUCUGAAGUAGUGCUGAACAGUUACCCCUUCCCCAACCCGCCCCCCCCCAUAGCUCCUGGCUUGCCACCCUCUAUAUGUGUAUCUCUGCAGUUGUAUGGUUCCAUGGUCUGUUAUUGGGGUGAGAGAAAUGGCUAUGUGCACGGAUGAGAACUGUUUUCUGUCAACGUGUGGGUCUCUCUGCUUUGUUCACUUGUCUCUUCCGUAAAUAUUCACAAAUAAAAUGAUCCAAGAUCAAUGGCUCUCCGGUCUC
rnacentral:lncRNA from 1 species